CAAGCGGCAUGAAGACGUCAGGAUGGUGAAGCUAGUGGGGAGGGCGAUAGCAGCAACAACAGAAAUAUAAAAACAAAAAUAAAAAUACCUGGAAAAAUUCAGCAGGUCUGACAGCAUCUGCGGAGAGGAACACAGUUAACGUUUCGAUUCCGUAUGACUCUUCAACAGAACUAAGGAAAAAUAGAAAAGAGAAUCCGCUUGUGCCAUGCCGCCAGCUUUCUGUGACGCCACAUCUGCCGACAUCUCCUGCAAUAUGUCUGGCCAGAGCUGGCAACCCUAUCGUCUCUGAUUCCACCAACCUCAUGGACAGCAAGUUCCAGGAGGUGCAUAAUCGGAGGCAGCAAGAGCUAAUCAGAGGGGGACAAGCAGACCUGCAUAUCCUGACAGUCAUGGACGAAAUAGUGCUGACCAUUAUUGGAAUUUCCAUUGGAGACAGUGGCCAGCAGUGGGGCUGAAAUCAUCAAAGAUUAUCAGUAUCCAUACAUAAUCCUCCUUCUCACAUCCCACCUCACUGUCAUCCCACAAUCUCUUCUAAUCUACAAGCUGCAGAUGGUGUAAGCACCCACAGCUUACCUGCCCCAAUCCUCUCACUACUCUUACUCUAGUGCCUUUCUCCUUUCAGACACUGAAGAUAUACAGCCCAGCCAGGCAGUGCAGGAGCAACAGGAAAGCAGUUGUCAUGCCAGUAAAGUCAGAAGAGACCUAGGGCAAUCUGCAGAAUAAAACCAACAAGACAACAGCUGCAGAGAAAGGAUGUACCACCUUUUGCCUUUUAAGACCUGGGAGGCUUAAAAGCCUUUUUAAAAGCCUCUCAGCCUGACUCCAAUGCUCCGAGUUCAACUGUAAAGAAAUUGGACCUCCUCUACAACAGUCACAAGUGCCUGACUUCAUGACCUGCUGAAUGUUUUCCUCUUCGAAGGAACAAAGCAGUAAUCCUAAUGUCCGAUCCCAGCAAUCUCAAUUUACCUGACCUACAAUUUAAAAGUGGGAAAAGCUUCCCUAGACUCUCAAAGACGUGAACUGUUAACCAUUCUUUUGGUUUAAUACUUGUAGAAGUGCACUUGUUCAACAAUUUCUUGUAUUGUAUAUUGUUUAAUUGUAUCUUUCUUAAGUGUGUUGUGUAACUGAUGUAGCAUUUAGAUCUUUCUUAGUGUGUGAAUAAAUAAUCCUCUAAACA